AUUGAACGCUGGCGGCAGGCCUAACACAUGCAAGUCGAGCGGAUGAAGGGAGCUUGCUCCUGGAUUCAGCGGCGGACGGGUGAGUAAUGCCUAGGAAUCUGCCUGGUAGUGGGGGAUAACGUCCGGAAACGGGCGCUAAUACCGCAUACGUCCUGAGGGAGAAAGUGGGGGAUCUUCGGACCUCACGCUAUCAGAUGAGCCUAGGUCGGAUUAGCUAGUUGGUGGGGUAAAGGCCUACCAAGGCGACGAUCCGUAACUGGUCUGAGAGGAUGAUCAGUCACACUGGAACUGAGACACGGUCCAGACUCCUACGGGAGGCAGCAGUGGGGAAUAUUGGACGAUGGGCGAAAGCCUGAUCCAGCCAUGCCGCGUGUGUGAAGAAGGUCUUCGGAUUGGAAAGCACUUUAAGUUGGGAGGAAGGGCAGUAAGUUAAUACCUUGCUGUUUUGACGUUACCAACAGAAUAAGCACCGGCUAACUUCGUG
rnacentral:rRNA from 1 species